UGGGGAAUAUUGCGCAAUGGGCGAAAGCCUGACGCAGCGACGCCGCGUGAGGGAUGAAGGUUUUCGGAUCGUAAACCUCUGUCAGAAGGGAAGAAACCGCACUGUGCUAAUCAGCAGUGCCUUGACGGUACCUUCAAAGGAAGCACCGGCUAACUCCGUGCCAGCAGCCGCGGUAAUACGGAGGGUGCAAGCGUUAAUCGGAAUUACUGGGCGUAAAGCGCACGUAGGCUGCUUUGUAAGUCAGGGGUGAAAUCCCACGGCUCAACCGUGGAACUGCCUUUGGUACUGCUUAGCUUGAAUCCGGGAGAGGGUGGCGGAAUUCCAGGGGUAGGAGUGAAAUCCGUAGAUAUCUGGAGGAACAUCAGUGGCGAAGGCGGCCACCUGGACCGGUAUUGACGCUGAGGUGCGAAAGCGUGGGGAGCAAACAGG
rnacentral:rRNA from 1 species